rnacentral:rRNA from 1 species
AGGUCACUGCUAUCGGUGUCCGAUUAAGCCAUGCGAGUCGUGAGGGGUAAAGCCCUCGGCAGACUGCUCAGUAACACGUGGACAAUCUACCCAAAGGUCUGGGAUAACCCCGGGAAACUGGGGAUAAUACCGGAUAGGCCAAGACACCUGGAAUUUGAGUUUUGGUUUAAAGAGUAAUCGCCUUUGGAUGGGUCUGCGGCGGAUUAGGUAGACGCCGGUGUAACGUACCGGCGUGCCUGUCAUCCGUACGGGUUGUGGGAGCAAGAGCCCGGAGAUGGAUUCUGAGACACGAAUCCAGGCCCUACGGGGCGCAGCAGGCGCGAAAACUCUACAAUGCAGGCAACUGCGAUAGGGGGACAUCGAGUGGCGCUCACUUUGGGCGCCUGUCCCACCGUCUAAAAAACGGUGGUUAGCAAGGGCCGGGUAAGACCGGUGCCAGCCGCCGCGGUAAUACCGGCGGCUCGAGUGGUGGCCGAUAUUAUUGAGUCUAAAGGGUCCGUAGCCGGCUUCGUAAGUCCCCCGGGAAAUCCAGCGGCUUAACCGUUGGGCUUCCGUGGGAUACUGCGUUGCUUGGGACUGGGAGAGGUAGGAGGUACUCGGGGGGUAGGGGGUGAAAUCCUGUAAUCCCCUGGGGACCACCGGUGGCGAAGGCGUCCUACCAGAACAGGUCCGACGGUGAGGGACGAAAGCUAGGGGCACGAACCGGAUUAGAUACCCGGGUAGUCCUAGCCGUAAACGAUGCCCGCUAGGUGUCACGGCGGUCGUGAAUCGCCGUGGUGCCGUGGGGAAGCCGCGAAGCGGGCCACUUGGGGAAGUACGGCCGCAAGGCUGAAACUUAA